UACGGGGGGGGCAAGCGUUGUUCGGAAUUACUGGGCGUAAAGGGCGCGUAGGCGGUUCGCUAAGUUGAAUGUGAAAACUCUGGGCUUAACCCAGAGCCUGCAUCCAAAACUGGCGAACUGGAGUACUGGAGGGGAAAGCGGAAUUCCUGGUGUAGCGGUGAAAUGCGUAGAUAUCAGGAGGAACACCGGUGGCGAAGGCGGGUCUCUGGGCCGAUACUGACGCUGAGGCGCGAAAGCGUGGGGAGCAAACAGG
rnacentral:rRNA from 1 species